UACGGGGGGGGCUAGCGUUGUUCGGAAUUACUGGGCGUAAAGGGCUCGUAGGCGGCCCCUUUAGUCGGACGUGAAAUCCCUCGGCUCAACCGGGGAACUGCGUCCGAUACUGGGGGGCUCGAAUCCGGGAGAGGGAUGCGGAAUUCCAGGUGUAGCGGUGAAAUGCGUAGAUAUCUGGAGGAACACCGGUGGCGAAGGCGGCAUCCUGGACCGGUAUUGACGCUGAGGAGCGAAAGCCAGGGGAG
rnacentral:rRNA from 1 species